AACGAACGCUGGCGGCAUGCCUAACACAUGCAAGUCGAACGAGACCUUCGGGUCUAAUGGCGCACGGGUGCGUAACGCGUGGGAACCUGCCCUUAGGUUCGGAAUAACUCCCCGAAAGGGGUGCUAAUACCGGAUAAUGUCUUCGGACCAAAGAUUUAUCGCCUUUGGAUGGGCCCGCGUUGGAUUAGCUAGUUGGUAGGGUAAAAGCCUACCAAGGCGACGAUCCAUAGCUGAUCUGAGAGGAUGAUCAGCCACACUGGGACUGAGACACGGCCCAGACUCCUACGGGAGGCAGCAGUGGGGAAUAUUGGACGAUGGGCGAAAGCCUGAUCCAGCAAUGCCGCGUGAGUGAUGAAGGCCUUAGGGUUGUAAAGCUCUUUUACCCGGGAUGAUAAUGACAGUACCGGGAGAAUAAGCUCCGGCUAACUCCGUG
rnacentral:rRNA from 1 species